rnacentral:tRNA from 2 species
UCCUGGUUAGCUCGGUGGUAGAGGGCUCCGCUGGAAAUGGAGAGGUCCCUGGUUCGAUACCAGGACCAGGCG